rnacentral:rRNA from 1 species
GAUGAACGCUGGCGGCGUGCCUAAUACAUGCAAGUCGAGCGAACAGACGAGGAGCUUGCUCCUCUGACGUUAGCGGCGGACGGGUGAGUAACACGUGGAUAACCUACCUAUAAGACUGGGAUAACUUCGGGAAACCGGAGCUAAUACCGGAUAAUAUAUUGAACCGCAUGGUUCAAUAGUGAAAGACGGUUUUGCUGUCACUUAUAGAUGGAUCCGCGCCGCAUUAGCUAGUUGGUAAGGUAACGGCUUACCAAGGCGACGAUGCGUAGCCGACCUGAGAGGGUGAUCGGCCACACUAGAACUGAGACACGGUCCAGACUCCUACGGGAGGCAGCAGUAGGGAAUCUUCCGCAAUGGGCGAAAGCCUGACGGAGCAACGCCGCGUGAGUGAUGAAGGUCUUCGGAUCGUAAAACUCUGUUAUUAGGGAAGAACAAAUGUGUAAGUAACUAUGCACGUCUUGACGGUACCUGAUCAGAAAGCCACGGCUAACUACGUG